GGGCUUGACAUCCCACGAACCUGCCUGAAAGGGCGGGGUGCCCGCAAGGGAGCGUGGAGACAGGUGGUGCAUGGCUGUCGUCAGCUCGUGUCGUGAGAUGUUGGGUUAAGUCCCGCAACGAGCGCAACCCUUGCCCCUUGUUGCCAUCAGGUCAUGCUGGGCACUCUAGGGGAACUGCCCCGGUUAACGGGGAGGAAGGCGGGGAUGACGUCAAGUCAUCAUGCCCCUUACGCCCUGGGCUACACACGUGCUACAAUGGCCGGUACAAAGGGAUGCAAUACCGCGAGGUGGAGCUAAACCCAAAAAGCCGGUCUAAGUUCAGAUUGGAGUCUGCAACUCGACUCCAUGAAGGAGGAAUCGCUAGUAAUCGCGUAUCAGCACGACGCGGUGAAUACGUUCCCGGGCCUUGUACACACCGCCCGUCACACCACGAAAGUCAGCUGUACUCGAAGUCGCUGAG
rnacentral:rRNA from 1 species